GAUGAAGAACGUAGCGAAAUGCGAUACUUGGUGUGAAUUGCAGAAUCCCGCGAAUCAUCGAGUUUUUGAACGCAAGUUGCGCCCGAAGCCAUUCGGCCGAGGGCACGUCUGCCUGGGUGUCACGCAUCGUUGCCCCCCCAAACUCCGGUUCGGGCAGGGCGGAAGUUGGCCUCCCGUGCGUGCCUGCGCGCGCGGUUAGCCCAAAAGCGAGUCCUCGGCGACGAGCGCCACGACAAUCGGUGGUUUUUUUACCCUCGUUCCUCGUCGUGCGUGCCCCGUCGCCCGAACGCGCUCUUGCGACCCUUACGCGUCGCCUCGGCGGCGCUCCCAACACGACCCCAGGUCAGGCGGGACUACCCGCUGAGUUUAAGCAUAUCAAUAAGCGGAGGA
rnacentral:misc_RNA from 1 species